GUGAGCAGAUGGAGCCGGACGAGAUUGCCGUGGCGGCGAGAGGGAGGAAGCGCUGCAAGAACUCCUCAAAGUCCACCUCCUCCGUUCCAUGCCCCAAGUUCUGCCUCCACCAUCCCCCAUCUCUCUACGUGAAGAUCUUUGCCCAGCGAUUCGUCCACAAUCGGCACAGUCGCUGAAUCGUCUUGCACAUGCAUAGCGCCCACAAGAGGAUGGCGGGGAUGGAGGCGGAAGGUGCUCCUCCUCUGUGAUGCGUCACAACAUCAAGCCCAGCACCGGAUCCACCCGAGAUAUUGACGCAUUUGGACCUCUUGAGGUAGCCGCACUCUUCUCUUCCUUUAUUUGUCUCGUGAUCUCUCCUCAGAUUAAUCUCCAUAAGCUCUAACCUUUGUUUGUGCAGAUGCCAUUUAUCUAUGCCUUCAAGGUGUUCGACAAUAAUCCAGAGAAGCUGCAGGAGAAAUUAACCCAUGUAAUAUUUGUGUAAUUGUGCUUAAUUUAUUGCAGAAUGUUGGUUUCUAUAUUUAUAUAAGUGGACGUCUCUUUGA